rnacentral:lncRNA from 1 species
GUUUUUAUACGACCGCAAAAUUUGAAAAAUUUUUCGUCGUAUAUUGCUAUCACGUUGGCGUCUGCGUCGUCGUCGUCGUCGUCGUCGUCGACGUCGUCCGGCGUCCGAAUACUUUUAGUUUUCGCACUCUAACUUUAGUAAAAGUGAAUGGAAAUCUAUGAAAUUUUAACACAAGGUUUAUGACCACAAAAGGAAGGUUGGGAUUGAUUUUGGGAGUUUUGGUCCCAACAUUUUAGGAAUUAGGGGCCAAAAAGGGCCCAAAUAAGCAUUUUCUUGGUUUUCGCACUAUAACUUUAGUUUAAGUAAAUAGAAAUCUAUGAAAUUUUGAC